rnacentral:ncRNA from 1 species
CCUGCUGAAUUUAAGCAUAUUAGUCAGCAAAGAAACUAACCACGAUUCCCUCAGUAAUGGCAAGUGAACAGGUA